GAUGAACGCUGGCGGCGUGCCUAACACAUGCAAGUCGAGCGAACAGACGAGGAGCUUGUGCCUCUGACGUUAGCGGCGGACGGGUGAGUAACACGUGUAUAACCUACCUAUCAGUGUGGGAUAUAUUCGGGAAACCGGAGAUAAUACGGGAUAAUAUUUUGAACCGUAUGGUUCAUUAGAGAAAGACGGCUCUGUUGUCACUUAUAGAUGGAUCCGCGCCGCAUUAGCUAGUUGUGAAGGUAAACGCUUACCAAGGCGGCGAUGCGUAGCCGACCUGAGAGGGUGAUAGGCCACACUGGAACAGAAACACGGUCCAGAGUCCUGCGGAAGGCAGCAGUAGGGAAUCUUCCGCAAUGGGCGAGAGCCUGACGGAACAACGCCGCGUGAGAGGUGACAGUCUUAGGAUCGUAAAACUCUGUUAUUAGAGGAGAACCAAUGUGUAAGUAACUGUAGCCGUCUUGACGGUACCUAGUCAGAAAGCCACGGCUAACUACGUG
rnacentral:rRNA from 1 species